rnacentral:tRNA from 1 species
GGAGAGGUGGCUGAGUCCGGCUGAAAGCGACCGACUCGAAAUCGGUUAGGUGGGCUAAAACCCGCCUCGGGGGUUCGAAUCCUCCCUCUCCGCCA